UCAAUUGGGUUUAGAUCGCAAUGAUAC
rnacentral:sRNA from 1 species